rnacentral:lncRNA from 1 species
CAACAUAGGGUGAUAGAAAGGGGCAUCUCCUGUCAAUCCUGACGGCUAAUAGGGUCACACCGAUCGGCUCCCUUGCAUGUUGUCACCUAUAAGGCUGACCAAAGAGGGGCGCAGGUCAACUUGGUUGCCUGGGGCCCAUUGCCCUCGACGAUCGAACCAUACCGCUUGUUGUUGGUUGCAGUGGCCAACAGGCUACCGUCUUACUGUCGAGUGGAGUGAUGAUUUAUCCCUUGCCUUCCACGUCGAUGUCUUGGUGGCGACCAACUGACGGGCUGGUCUAGUUGCCAGAAUAUUCUCUACCAACUUUCCACCUAGCAAAUAUACACACCGGAUAAGUAAAUUAAAUAUUAACACAAUGUUGCAAAUACAAACUACUUUUAUGUUUUUUUUUUUACUUACCUGGCAAAGUGAAUCAUUCAAUACACAACAAGAUAACAAAAACUAAAAGCCAAUAAAUGAUCUAUAGCUUAGAAAAUGAUUUCUGCUCAAAGAAUUGCUCCACUAAUGGAUUGCCGAUCCACAUGCCACUAUGACAUGUUAAUUUUGCUUUAAUUUAGUGUAAAUAUCGUUGAAACAAGAAAUAUAAUCACUUUUGGCUAAAUAAAAUCACCAUUCAUGGCACGACUCAUUGACUUUUUUGCAUCUAUUCAUACCACUCUGUUGACAAAUGGGGGUAAAUUACAUAUUAAACUUAUUUUCUAUAGAACUCUGUUUUUUAAUUUAUUUACAUUUAUAUUUCUGAAUAUUCUCUUCUAUAUUAGAAAAUUAAUAAUAAAUCAUAAAUGCAGAAAAUAGCAAGUAUAAGAUUUAUGUAUUACCUAAUUCAUAAAAAAGAAAAUCCUUUACCAUAUGAGAAUAAUAAAAUACAAGAAAUAAGAUUCUCUUUUGAGUUGAUUCAAAUUCAACCCUAUCGCUCUCUCUUGUAUAAAUUCUAAAUUUUUUUUCUCAAUCUAAUCGUUUAGAGAAAAUCCUAUGAACAUCUAAAUUAUAUUUCCUAUAAGCUUUAUAUCAGGUUCUUGUAUUCACAUCAAAAUUAUUCAUACAAAUUGAGCUUAUCACUCAACAAAAUGAGAACUCAUACGCAGUAUGAGAAGUUCCUAACGGAAAUUUUUGGUCAUCACCAUGAUAAUGACUGAUUCAUCCUGAGACUAUCAUAUUGUAGUUUAGAAAGAGAUGAGUGUACUAUGCAUUAAACAUCACAAUGUGUUUGUUUCAUGGUUCAUAGAAUCUGCUAUGUUUUUUUUAUCAUGGCGAAUCAUUAUGACACCCUAAUGACAGACAUGCUAUAGAUAUAACAAAACAUUGUUGCUCAACUAAAUAUACUAACCACUUAGAUUGUCGAUGAUGAGAGGCAUCGAAGUAGCUCGACCUUUUCAACACAGACUUGUUAGGAUAUCUUAGAAAAGAUGGUUGCUUAUAUCAUCAAUGGAACUACACCUAAAAAUAUCCAUCAAAAUGUAGUCAUCUCUAAAGUACCAAGUAUAUAGUGAUGCAAGUACUUAAUCCGACGAAGUCACAUAGAAUUAAAAUUGGCAACAUCAUCAUUGUCCCAAGCAGCUAUAAUUUACUGAUAAAUCACUCAUGAAUUGAUCAAAUAUAGGAUUAUUGAAUAAAUUUCUUUAAAAAAACUUCAAGUUUUUAUACCAGAAUAUCGUUGACCUCAUUGUCGCCCUCCUAUCGUGGCCGCCUUCGCAUCUCGCUGCCGGCCACCGCAUCCGUGUGAUUGUCUCUGCCUUACAGCCCUUGCCCUCAUCUUACGAUUAUUUUCUCAUCCUCGUCUAUCACCCUCGGUCAUCCCUAAUGAGGUGUUGCUAAGGCCUCGCCUCUGCCCUAUCGUACCUAUUUGUCGACCUUGAUGGAUAGCCCCCACAGUGAUCGCCCUCCCUUGACUCCCCCGAUGAAGGCAUAGACAGGGAAGGCAAUAUUAGAGCAAUCACGACAAUGGAUGCGAUAGGGAGAGAUCCUCAAGGAGUCGAUAACAGUCGUUGGCGAGAUCAUCUAGGGCGACAACAAAGGAAAGGUGGAAGUGGAAGCUAUGAGGAAAUAGACAGCGUACAUGCUGACGAGGUCGCCCUCACAGACCAUCACCCGCUUUCCCUUCGGGGACUCGACCAUGGCAGACGAUGACACGAUGAUAACCCUAGACAAGAAGUGGAGACAGCGGGAUGACAGGAUGGUUGUAAGAGUAAUCUCAUCCUUCAUAAAAUAAAGGAUGUUUUAUGUAAAUAAAUAAAAAGAAAAUGCUCUCUGCUGAGAAAAAGAAAAUGAAAAAGACUUCUUUUUUGAAUUUAUUAAUUCUAUGUAAGCUAAAGUCAUGGGAGAAG